rnacentral:lncRNA from 1 species
UUUAUCAGCUGAAAGGAGACAACCUUCUUCGUCCUUUUCUAGAUCCUCUUCUUCAAGACCUUCGACACCUUCAUCCCUUUCAAAACCUUCUUCAACACCUUCGUCUCAUUCAAGACCUUCGACACCUUCGUCUCAUUCAAGACCUUCGACACCUUUAUCCCAUUCAAGACCUUCCACCCCAGCGCGUGAUUCAGUGUUAGAAGGACACGGUAUCUCUUCUUCAAGACGGUCGGUUGGUGUUCGAACAAUGAUGGAUGGUCUGUGGCCGUCAACGCGCAAUGUUACAACCUCGUCCAACUCAAGAUCUACGCAUAUCACUACCUGCGAAAAGGAGAAGUCAGUUGCAUCAUUAGAUCAAGCAUCGAAGUCUUCAUCUGAGAGCAUGAAGACCCCUCUCAGACGGAGGAAUGCACCCAACGCCAACCAGUCUGAGAAUUCAAAACCAAUAAGAAAUUCAGAUAAACAAGGUUCCCCAUCAUAUACCAACAACUGGAUUUCCAUGAUGAGUUCAAGGUCAUCGUCUCCUGCAGCCAUGACAAGAAGCUUAGAUCUCACAGAUAAGAUAAC